rnacentral:rRNA from 1 species
CACGCAGGCGGUCUGUCAAGUCAGAUGUGAAAUCCCCGGGCUUAACCUGGGAACUGCAUUUGAAACUGGCAGGCUAGAGUCUUGUAGAGGGGGGUAGAAUUCCAGGUGUAGCGGUGAAAUGCGUAGAUAUAGGAAGGAACACCAGUGGCGAAGGCGGCUUUCUGGACUGACACUGACGCUGAGGCACGAAAGCGUGGGAGCAAACA